ACGGAAUCCAACUAUGGAGAACAGCAAGUAAUUCCAACAUUGAAAUACUCCAACGCUUCCAAUCGAAAACGCUAAGAUCCCUAAUAAACGCAGCCUGGUCCAGAAGCAGAUAUAACACAAGAGUCAACAGCCACCACAACCCAUUAGUCACCCAACUACUUGACAACGUCAACUACUUGACACGACGGAGCAGAUCCGCAGACUAAAAAGAAAAUACCCUUUAGACUAAAUCCUUAGAUCCUGCUAGAACCAACAAUAUAAAACUAUUAUAAACCAUGUCA
rnacentral:misc_RNA from 1 species